UAUCACAUAUUGAACAACUUGUACUGGUAUUGUGACAAAUUGUUGACAUUUUAUAUAUAUUUUUUAUUUAAAUAUUUAUUUAAUAAUAUACAAUUUGCACUACUGUAUGUUGAUUAAAAUCAAUAGUGAGGUAUGCACUUCUCAUCUAGUAGGACGUCGCGACCCGUUAAAUAUUGGUCUAAAGAUACUGGUGCCGUUGACUAUUGUACGAAAUAUGUUUUUCGGAAUAUAUUUUUUUGUUAUAAUAGACGCCUAUAUCAUAUGCGGCCAAUUGUUUGACGGUAUAUAAAAUGUUAACAAUUAUGUACCGCGUUAAUUUAAACGCGUUCAGUUCAUCACGAGUAUAAAUAGAUUAAUUUCAUAUUAUAUAUGGAAUUAAUACAUUGACUAUACGGACAUUGUGCCGUUAGUUGAUACUAUUUUACUGUUUGCAGUAGAUGUAUAACAAUGAACAUGGUAUAUUUGUAUUAAAAUUCCUAUUUUAAUACAAUUUAAAUGUCAGCGACGCAUUAGCUUUGGGUAAUUUCAGGACCCGUCUUGAAACACGGACCAAGGAGUCUAGCAUAUGCGCAAGUCAUUGAGACUAAAACGUUUUUUCAUCGGAAUGUAUAUAAAAUUUAUGAAACUCAAAGGCGAAAUGAAAGUAAAAUGUGGAAUUUUUAUUAAUGUUUGCAAGAACAAUAAUGGGUAUUGCACAUAAGGGAAGAUAUAUUUUUAUUAUGUAUUAAAUAUCGCAUUCCCAGGGCGUCUUAACUAUUAUAUUUGAAUAACGGAGUUGAUAUCACAUUUUGCAUUGGCAGUGUGUAAGUGUAGUUUCUUCGGGAAUUAUAACUGCCCUGCUCUAUGUGGGUGUGUAUGGUCAGCUUGUCGAUUCGCUUAUAAUGGAGGCGCACCCAGAGCGUAUACGCUGGGACCCGAAAGAUGGUGAACUAUACCUGGUCAGAACGAAGUCAGGGGAAACCCUGAUGGAGGUUCGUAGCGAUUCUGACGUGCAAAUCGAUCGUCGGA
rnacentral:rRNA from 1 species